UCAAGUUAUUAAGGGUGCAGGGCGGAUGCCUUGGCACUAGGAGCCGAUGAAGGACGUGAUAAGCUGCGAUAAGCUUCGGGGAGUUGCACGUAAACUUUGAUCCGAAGAUUUCCGAAUGAGGAAACUCACUUAGAGUAAUGUCUAAGUAUCAUUAAGUGAAUACAUAGCUUAAUGAGGGGAACUCAGGGAACUGAAACAUCUAAGUACCUGAAGGAAGAGAAAGAAAUUCGAUUCCGUAAGUAGCGGCGAGCGAACGCGGAUUAACCCAAACCAAUAAAGUUUUCUUUAUUGGGGUUGCGGACAUAUCAUAACGAAGAGGUAUCGUAAUUGAAGAGGUUUGGAAAGACCCACCACAGAAGGUAAUAGUCCUGUAUGUUAAACGAGAAGACUUCAGAUAUGAUCCAGAGUACCACGGGACACGUGAAACCCUGUGGGAAGCAGGAGGGACCACCCUCCAAGGCUAAAUACUACCUAGUGACCGAUAGCGUAUAGUACCGUGAGGGAAAGGUGAAAAGAACCCCGGGAGGGGAGUGAAAUAGAACCUGAAACCCUGCACUUACAAGCUGUGGAAGCACAUUUCUUGUGUGACCGCGUACUUUUUGUAGAACGGGCCAACGAGUUACGUUAAGUAGCAAGGUUAAGCACUUAAGGUGUGGAGCCGUAGCGAAAGCGAGUUUUAACUGAGCGUUCAGUUACUUGACGUAGACCCGAAACCGGGCGACCUACCCAUGAGCAGGAUGAAGCGAAAGUAAAAUUUCGUGGAGGUCCGAACCCACGAGCGUUGAAAAGCUCGGGGAUGACUUGUGGGUAGCGGUGAAAUUCCAAUCGAGCCCGGAGAUAGCUGGUUCUCCCCGAAAUAGCUUUAGGGCUAGCCUCAAGGUGAGAGAUACGGAGGUAGAGCACUGAAUGUCCUAGGGGGUAUUGCACCUACCGAAGACUAUCAAACUCCGAAUGCCGUCAUCUUAUACUUGGGAGUCAGACUGUGGGUGAUAAGAUUCAUAGUCGAAAGGGCAACAGCCCAGAUCGUCAGCUAAGGUCCCUAAAUGUAAGUUAAGUGGUAAAGGAUGUGGGAUUGCACAGACAACCAGGAUGUUGGCUUAGAAGCAGCCACUCAUUCAAAGAGUGCGUAAUAGCUCACUGGUCGAGUGAUCCUGCGCCGAAGAUUUCCGGGGCUAAAACUUACUACCGAAGCUACGGCAUCAGUAAUGAUGGGUAGGGGAGCUUCCCAUACGGGUUGAAGCAUGACCGUAAGGACAUGUGGACAGUAUGGGAGUGAGAAUGUUGGCAUGAGUAGCGAGAUGUGGGUGAGAAUCCCACAGGCCGUAAACCCAAGGUUUCCAGGGGAAGGUUCGUCCGCCCUGGGUUAGUCGGGACCUAAGCUGAGGCCGAAAGGCGUAGGUGAUGGACAACAGGUUGAUAUUCCUGUACUACCGAUAACCGUUUGAGAGAAGGGAUGACACAGUAGGAUAAGCUAAGCACACUGUUGGUUAUGUGUGCCCAAGCAUUGAGGCAGUCAAAGUAGGCAAAUCCGCUUUGAUAAUGCUGGGAUGUGAUGGGGAGCGAAAUUUAGUAGCGAAGUAGCUGAUUUCACACUGUCAAGAAAAGUCUCUAUCGAGGUUAAAGGUACCCGUACCGCAAACCGACACAGGUGGGUGAGGAGAGUAUCCUAAGGCCAGCGAGAGAACUGUUGUUAAGGAACUCGGCAAAAUGACCCCGUAACUUAGGGAUAAGGGGUGCCACCAUCAGGUGGCCGCAGAGAAUAGGCCCAAGCGACUGUUUACCAAAAACAUAGGUUUCUGCUAAGUCGCAAGACGAUGUAUAGGAGCUGACGCCUGCCCGGUGCUGGAAGGUUAAGGGGAUCUGUUAGAGCAAUCGAAGCAGUGAACUUAAGCCCCAGUAAACGGCGGCCGUAACUAUAACGGUCCUAAGGUAGCGAAAUUCCUUGUCGGGUAAGUUCCGACCCGCACGAAAGGCGUAACGAUUUGGGCACUGUCUCAACAACAGACUCGGUGAAAUUGUAAUUCCGGUGAAGAUGCCGGAUACCUGCGACAGGACGGAAAGACCCCAUGGAGCUUUACUGUAGCUUGACAUUGGGUUUUGGUACUACAUGUACAGGAUAGGUGGGAGGCUUUGAAACCAGGACGCCAGUUUUGGCGGAGCCAUCCUUGGGAUACCACCCUUGUAGUACUGGGACUCUAACCAUAGGCCAUGAAUCUGGUCUUGGGACACUGUCAGGUGGGCAGUUUGACUGGGGCGGUCGCCUCCCAAAAGGUAACGGAGGCGCUCAAAGGUUCUCUCAGUACGGUCGGAAAUCGUACGUAGAGUGUAAAGGCAAAAGAGAGCUUGAUUGCAAGACAUACAGGUCGAGCAAGGAUGAAAAUCGGACUUAGUGAUCCGGUGGUUCUGCGUGGAAGGGCCAUCGCUCAACGGAUAAAAGCUACCCUGGGGAUAACAGGCUUAUCUCCCCCAAGAGUCCACAUCGACGGGGAGGUUUGGCACCUCGAUGUCGGCUCAUCACAUCCUGGGGCUGUAGUAGGUCCCAAGGGUUGGGCUGUUCGCCCAUUAAAGUGGUACGCGAGCUGGGUUCAGAACGUCGUGAGACAGUUCGGUCCCUAUCCGUCGCAGGCGUAGGAAAUUUGAGAAGACCUGUCCUUAGUACGAGAGGACCGGGAUGGACGUACCUCUGGUGUACCAGUUGUUCUGCCAAGGGCAUGGCUGGGUAGCUAUGUACGGAAUGGAUAAGCGCUGAAAGCAUCUAAGCGCGAAGCCAACUUCAAGAUAAGAUUUCCCACCGCAAGGGUAAGACCCCAGAAAGACUAUCUGGUUGAUAGGUCGAAGGUGUAAGUGCAGCAAUGUAUUUAGCUUAUCGAUACUAAUAGGUCGAGGACUUGACCAA
rnacentral:rRNA from 1 species